rnacentral:snRNA from 1 species
AGCUUUGUGCAGUGGAAGUACGUAGCCAAUGAGGUUUAUCCGAGGUGCAAUUAUUGCUAAUAGGAAUACAUAUCAGACAUUCCCCAGUCCUAUAUCCCCUAGGGGGGAAUCUCUGGCUGUUAGCUGC